rnacentral:rRNA from 1 species
GAGGCAGCAGUGGGGAAUAUUGCACAAUGGGCGAAAGCCUGAUGCAGCAACGCCGCGUGAGGGAUGACGGCCUUCGGGUUGUAAACCUCUUUUAGUAGGGAAGAAGCGAAAGUGACGGUACCUGCAGAAAAAGCACCGGCUAACUACGUGCCAGCAGCCGCGGUAAUACGUAGGGUGCAAGCGUUGUCCGGAAUUAUUGGGCGUAAAGAGCUCGUAGGCGGUUUGUCGCGUCUGCUGUGAAAUCCCGAGGCUCAACCUCGGGCUUGCAGUGGGUACGGGCAGACUAGAGUGCGGUAGGGGAGAUUGGAAUUCCUGGUGUAGCGGUGGAAUGCGCAGAUAUCAGGAGGAACACCGAUGGCGAAGGCAGAUCUCUGGGCCGUAACUGACGCUGAGGAGCGAAAGCGUGGGGAGCGAACAGGAUUAGAUACCCUGGUAGU